rnacentral:rRNA from 1 species
CCCCUAGAUGUUCUGGGCUGCACGCGUGCUACACUGAUUAUUUCAACAAGUGUUUUAACUGGAGAGUUUGCGUAAUCCUGAAAUGCUAUCGUGAUGGGAGUAGAGUAUUGUAUUUGUUAAUCUUUAACGAGGAAUUCCUAGUAAGUGUAGGUUUAUAAGUUGUUCUGAUUACGUCCCUGCCCUUUGUACACACCGCCCGUCGCUCCUACCGAUUGAUUGAUCCGGUGAAUUACAUAGAAUUUUGCGUUUUACAUGACGGAAGAUGAAGUGUUUUAAACCUUAUCAUUUAGAGGAAGGAGAAGUCGUAACA